GAAAGACGCUCUCGUAACGAUAUCUGCUAACGUUGUUCCUUGAGUGAAGCUCAGGGCUUUCUUU
rnacentral:tRNA from 1 species